rnacentral:rRNA from 1 species
AAUACCGGAUAAUAUUUUGAACCGCAUGGUUCAAAAGUGAAAGACGGUCUUGCUGUCACUUAUAGAUGGAUCCGCGCUGCAUUAGCUAGUUGGUAAGGUAACGGCUUACCAAGGCAACGAUGCAUAGCCGACCUGAGAGGGUGAUCGGCCACACUGGAACUGAGACACGGUCCAGACUCCUACGGGAGGCAGCAGUAGGGAAUCUUCCGCAAUGGGCGAAAGCCUGACGGAGCAACGCCGCGUGAGUGAUGAAGGUCUUCGGAUCGUAAAACUCUGUUAUUAGGGAAGAACAUAUGUGUAAGUAACUGUGCACAUCUUGACGGUACCUAAUCAGAAAGCCACGGCUAACUACGUGCCAGCAGCCGCGGUAAUACGUAGGUGGCAAGCGUUAUCCGGAAUUAUUGGGCGUAAAGCGCGCGUAGGCGGUUUUUUAAGUCUGAUGUGAAAGCCCACGGCUCAACCGUGGAGGGUCAUUGGAAACUGGAAAACUUGAGUGCAGAAGAGGAAAGUGGAAUUCCAUGUGUAGCGGUGAAAUGCGCAGAGAUAUGGAGGAACACCAGUGGCGAAGGCGACUUUCUGGUCUGUAA